rnacentral:rRNA from 1 species
AUCAGCCAUGCCGCGUGUGUGAAGAAGGCCUUAUGGUUGUAAAGCACUUUAAGCGAGGAGGAGGCUACUAGUAUUAAUACUACUGGAUAGUGGACGUUACUCGCAGAAUAAGCACCGGCUAACUCUGUGCCAGCAGCCGCGGUAAUACAGAGGGUGCGAGCGUUAAUCGGAUUUACUGGGCGUAAAGCGUGCGUAGGCGGCCAUUUAAGUCAAAUGUGAAAUCCCCGAGCUUAACUUGGGAAUUGCAUUCGAUACUGGAUGGCUAGAGUAUGGGAGAGGAUGGUAGAAUUCCAGGUGUAGCGGUGAAAUGCGUAGAGAUCUGGAGGAAUACCGAUGGCGAAGGCAGCCAUCUGGCCUAAUACUGACGCUGAGGUACGAAAGCAUGGGGAGCAAACAGGAUUAGAUACCCUGGUAGUCCAUGCCGUAAACGAUGUCUACUAGCCGUUGGGGCCUUUGAGGCUUUAGUGGCGCAGCUAACGCGAUAAGUAGACCGCCUGGGGAGUACGGUCGCAAGACUAAAACUCAAAUGAAUUGACGGGGGCCCGCACAAGCGGUGGAGCAUGUGGUUUAAUUCGAUGCAACGCGAAGAACCUUACCUGGCCUUGACAUACUAGAAACUUUCCAGAGAUGGAUUGGUGCCUUCGGGAAUCUAGAUACAGGUGCUGCAUGGCUGUCGUCAGCUCGUGUCGUGAGAUGUUGGGUUAAGUCCCGCAACGAGCGCAACCCUUUUUCCUUACUUGCCAGCAUUUCGGAUGGGAACUUUAAUGAUACUGCCAGUGACAAACUGGAGGAAGGCGGGGACGACGUCAAGUCAUCAUGGCCCUUACGGCCAGGGCUACACACGUGCUACAAUGGUCGGUACAAAGGGUUGCUACCUAGCGAUAGGAUGCUAAUCUCAAAAAGCCGAUCGUAGUCCGGAU